rnacentral:lncRNA from 1 species
GUCUCUAGCAACAGUGCUGCUUGGAACUGGAUCAGGCAGUCCCCAUCGAGAGGCCUUGAGUGGCUGGGAAGGACAUACUACAGGUCCAAGUGGUAUAAUGAUUAUGCAGUAUCUGUGAAAAGUCGAAUAACCAUCAACCCAGACACAUCCAAGAACCAGUUCUCCCUGCAGCUGAACUCUGUGACUCCCGAGGACACGGCUGUGUAUUACUGUGCAAG